rnacentral:tRNA from 1 species
GCCCACAUGGCUCAGUGGUAGAGCACUUCCUUGGUAAGGAAGAGGUCGCUGGUUCGAUUCCAGCUGUGGGCACCA